rnacentral:rRNA from 1 species
UACGUAGGGUGCAAGCGUUAAUCGGAAUUACUGGGCGUAAAGCGUGCGCAGGCGGUGAUGUAAGACAGAUGUGAAAUCCCCGGGCUCAACCUGGGAACUGCAUUUGUGACUGCAUCGCUGGAGUGCGGCAGAGGGGGAUGGAAUUCCGCGUGUAGCAGUGAAAUGCGUAGAUAUGCGGAGGAACACCGAUGGCGAGGGCAA